rnacentral:misc_RNA from 1 species
GAUGAAGAACGUAGCGAAAUGCGAUACGAAGUGUGAAUUGCAGAAUUCCGUGAACCAUCAAAUGUUUGAACGCAUAUUGCGCUCGAGGCUUCGGCCGAGAGCAUGUCUGCCUCAGCGUCGGUAUUACCCCUCGCUACUCAACCCCUGGUUGAUGCCUGCCUGCCUUUGCAGUUGGCUAGAAGCGGAUCUGGCUUUCCCAAUUGCCUUUGGUAGUUGGGUCAGCUGAAGCACAGAGGCUUGAGCAAGGACCCUUAUUGGGCUUCAACUGGAUAGGUAGAACUGGUCUUAGGACCAACUACACGAAUUUGUUGCUUGUGGUCUUUUGUCUGGAGGCCAGCAGGAAACCUUUAUACCUUCGACCUGAGCUCAGGCAAGAUUACCCGCUGAACUUAAGCAUAUCAAUAAGCGGAGGA